rnacentral:rRNA from 1 species
GAGGAAUCUUGCGCAAUGGGGGAAACCCUGACGCAGCAACGCCGCGUGAGUGAGGAAGGUCUUCGGAUCGUAAAGCUCUGUCAGUUGGAAAGAAAUGUCUGAGAGUCAAUACCUUUCAGGCUUGACGGUACCAACAGAGGAAGCACCGGCUAACUCCGUGCCAGCAGCCGCGGUAAUACGGGGGGUGCAAGCGUUGUUCGGAAUUAUUGGGCGUAAAGAGCGUGUAGGCGGCCGGAUAUGUCAGAUGUGAAAGCCCCGGGCUUAACCCGGGAAGUGCAUUUGAAACUGUCCGGCUCGAGUAGGGGAGAGGGAAGUGGAAUUCCUGGUGUAGAGGUGAAAUUCGUAGAUAUCAGGAGGAACACCGGUGGCGAAGGCGACUUCCUGGCCCUAUACUGACUCUGAGACGCGAGAGCGUGGGUAGCAAGCAG